rnacentral:lncRNA from 1 species
UCAAUGUAUUUAAUCCAAAACCCAAUAAUAGUAAUAUCAAGUUGUAGCCUUUCACUCACGACAAAUCACAAAUUUCAAUUGUGAGCCUUUCUCUCAACCCGCUCUCUAGAGUCAACUCAACUCUUCAACUAAGAACCUACUACUUUGAUAGUAUUUAUAAACUCCAAAGUUUCCUAAAACAAAUAAGAUUGUAAACUGAAAUUUACUUGAAAAUUGAUCUGAGAUUUCCUAAUCUACUAUGAAACUAAACAAAUAAGACACCAAAAAGAAUUAGGAAACUAAUUACUAAAACAGCUUGGUUUAAUUUCCUUUAGACCUUCUUCUUAUCCUUUCUUUCUCCUUGCUCCCCUAAAGCUCUUCCUCUUUCUCUUCUUUUCCUUGCAAUCAAGAAGGCUUCCUUAGGAAAUCAAGAUCGAACAAAGAGUGGAAAGCUAGGAGAUUCCACCUUGCAAACUAACUAAAGGUAAUUUCUUGUGGUUUUGAACCUAAUUUUGAAUUCUCUUACAUUAUAGUGGUUGGGUUGUGUUUGCUCUAAAUCCUUAGUUUAGAAUUCUUAGUGUUAGAGUUUGGAGUUGGUUUUAGUCUCUACUUGUGUGUGUGGAUCAAUAUUUGUCUUGAAAUGAAGAUGGGUAGUCUUGAUGGAAAUCGUGUGAUUUGGGUCAAUACCUUAUUUUCAAGUUUAUGAAUGUAAUCAUAAGAUUGUAGAAUGUAAAAAUAUUGAUUUUGAUGAUUAUAGAAGCUUGGAGAUGAGUUAUGGUGACAUAGGACUUGAGACCUGAAAUUGGCACUAGUUUCUGCUACAAAUCUAGCCCUAAAUCUGCAGCUGGAUUCCUCGCGAAUGUUUGAACUGGAUUCAGCUCUUUGUACUAUCGCACUUCAGUGUUUUGGUCAUAUCUUGAUGUAGAAAACUCGAAAUUAAAUACUAUUUAUUGCAUUAGAAACUAAACUCACAGGAUUUAAGCACAUAUAAAGAUAUUGCCCUAAUUAUGUAUCUACAAGAAUUGAUAAAUUUUUAAAAUUGACCCUUGUGUUUCAUUAGAGUGAGAGGAUGAUGUUUAUUGUAGGUAAUUACUUGAGGCUGGAGUUUGGGGUGCUUUUUAUGAUAAUUUAGUAUGGAUAAGAGUCUUUAGGAUUUGAUUAAGUACUUUUUUAUGUUUAGGUAAGUUCUAUUGAAAUGGCUUGAAAUUGAGUUGGAUGUUAGGUCGUUUGGUGGAGGUAAGUGAUGCAUACUCUUUAUCUUUUGAAAAUAUACUUAUUAACUUCUUGUGACUUUAAAAGCUAUUUUAUAUAUUGAAAUGGCAUGAUCAUAUGUAUAUUAUUGAUGUACUAUAAAUGCAAAACUAUUGUUAAAUGAGGAUGAUGAGUACUACAUUGUUGAGCUCUUGUAUAAACUUACUUUUGACCGGACUAGUUCCUUAAAUGGUAGUAGCACCGAUGAAUUGGAUGUUAUUGUUAUCAUUAAACAGACUAAUCAUGUGGUAGUUAGUAUCAUUGGAGGGCUAAUUAUAUUACAAUUAGCACCUUGAACUACAUUAAUUGGUCAGUUAACAACUAGAUAUCCUAGGCCAUUGGCUAACUUUAUAUCUUGAGCACGUUUAUGAUUAUAAACAUUGUGAUGCAUGCGUUGUAUUUAAAAUAUUGAUGAUGAUCACGUCUUGCC